rnacentral:pre_miRNA from 1 species
GUCGGGAAGAGGAAGAAAGAGAGAGCCUAAGAGCAGUGGGAGUGGGAACAUGAUGGAAAGCCUACCAUGUUUGUUUCCUACCAUGUUUGUUUCCUCUAAAGAUGGGGGAGAAAACAUUGGUGCUUUCCGAUGCCUCCCAUUCCUAUCGUUCUUAGGUACUCCUUCCCCUUCCUUCUCUCU